UACAGAGGGUGCGAGCGUUAAUCGGAAUUACUGGGCGUAAAGCGCGCGUAGGCGGCUUUGUAAGUCAGAGGUGAAAGCCUGGAGCUCAACUCCAGAACUGCCUUUGAGACUGCAUCGCUAGAAUCAUGGAGAGGUUAGUGGAAUUCCGAGUGUAGAGGUGAAAUUCGUAGAUAUUCGGAAGAACACCAGUGGCGAAGGCGACUAACUGGACAUGUAUUGACGCUGAGGUGCGAAAGCGUGGGGAGCAAACAGG
rnacentral:rRNA from 1 species